rnacentral:rRNA from 1 species
UUGCCUACGGGGGGCAGCAGUCGAGAAUCAUUCGCAAUGGGCGAAAGCCUGACGGUGCGACGUCGCGUGGAGGAUGAAGGUCUUCGGAUUGUAAACUCCUGUCAUGUGGGAUAAAUGGCCAGGAGACGAAUAGUCUCUUGGAAUGAUAGUACCACAGGAGGAAGAGACGGCUAACUCUGUGCCAGCAGCCGCGGUAAUACAGAGGUCUCGAGCGUUGUUCGGAUUUACUGGGCGGAAAGGGAGCGUAGGCGGUUCGGUAUGUCGAAUGUGAAAGCCCACAACGCAACUGUGGAAAUGCAUUCGAAACUGCCGGGCUAGAGUACUGGAGAGGAGAGCGGAAUUCUUGGUGUAGCGGUGAAAUGCGUAGAUAUCAAGAGGAACACCGGUGGCGAAGGCGGCUCUCUGGACAGAUACUGACGCUGAGGCUCUAAAGUUAGGGGAGCAAACAGGAUUAGAUACCCGGGUAGUCA